rnacentral:rRNA from 1 species
UACGAAGGGGGCGAGCGUUGUUCGGAUUUACUGGGCGUAAAGGGCGCGUAGGCGGCGGGUCAAGUCGAGUGUGAAAGCCCCGGGCUCAACCUGGGAAUUGCGCUCGAGACUGGUCUGCUUGAGUUCGGGAGAGGAGAGUGGAAUUCCCAGUGUAGAGGUGAAAUUCGUAGAUAUUGGGAGGAACACCGGUGGCGAAGGCGGCUCUCUGGACCGAGACUGACGCUGAGGCGCGAAAGCGUGGGGAGCAAACAGG